GGGAAGUGGGGAUGACGUCAAGUCCUCACUUGGCCCGUUAUGGUAGGGCUUCACACGUCAUACAAUGGUCGGUACAGAGGGUUGCCAACCCGCGAGGGGGAGCUAAUCCCACAAAGCCGAUCGUAGUCCGGAUCGCAGUCUGCAACUCGACUGCGUGAAGUCGGAAUCGCUAGUAAUCGUGGAUCAGCAUGUCACGGUGAAUACGUUCCCGGGUCUU
rnacentral:rRNA from 1 species